UUAUUGUGUGCAAUGAGUCAUAGUGUGUACAGUAAAAACUGUAUUAUCGUACUUUUAACAGUAUUCAUAUUGGUUCAUUCAGUGUCAGUUGUCAUUCAAUUGUUUGAAUACUUUGUUUUUUUCUACUAUAUUUGAAGGUUUAAAUCAGUAUAAGCAUCAAACAUACACCAAAGUAUAAUGCGUAUACAAUUUUUUCAAGAGACCUGGAUUCGUAGUGUUAAGAUUAAUAUUGAAACGAGACGAGUUAGAUCAAACAUAAAGGUUAUGGUUAAUAACAUAAAAGUGUAAUAUUGAAGGAGAAUAUUACUAAUAUUUUGUGAGCUGGAUGUGAUUUGUAUGAACUCAUAUUCUGUGUUGUUGUUCGUGUUGAAUGAAGGGAAUCGGAGUUCCGUGACCUUCACAGCCAACAAAUCCAAUGUCAAAAUUCAAGAAAAAUAUUUUGAAGUAUUCUUAUAAAACAACAUAUUUUGUGUUGUU